UUACGAUUGACGGAGCGAAGCGACGUCAAAGCGUAUACAAAGUCGAGUCGGUUUAAGGAUACGUUCGUUGGGUAGGGGAGCGUUCUGUAAGCCUGCGAAGGUGGCCUGUGAGGGUUGCUGGAGGUAUCAGAAGUGCGAAUGCUGACAUAAGUAACGAUAAAGCGGGUGAAAAGCCCGCUCGCCGGAAGACCAAGGGUUCCUGUCCAACGUUAAUCGGGGCAGGGUGAGUCGACCCCUAAGGCGAGGCCGAAAGGCGUAGUCGAUGGGAAACGGGUUAAUAUUCCCGUACUUGGUGUUACUGCGAAGGGGGGACGGAGAAGGCUAUGUUGGCCGGGCGACGGUUGUCCCGGUUUAAGCGUGUAGGCUGGUUUUCCAGGCAAAUCCGGAAAAUCAAGGCUGAGGCGUGACGACGAGGCACUACGGUGCUGAAGCAACAAAUGCCCUGCUUCCAGGAAAAGCCUCUAAGCAUCAGGUAACACGAAAUCGUACCCCAAACCGACACAGGUGGUCAGGUAGAGAAUACCAAGGCGCUUGAGAGAACUCGGGUGAAGGAACUAGGCAAAAUGGUGCCGUAACUUCGGGAGAAGGCACGCUGACACGUAGGUGAAGUGAUUUACUCAUGGAGCUGAAGUCAGUCGAAGAUACCAGCUGGCUGCAACUGUUUAUUAAAAACACAGCACUGUGCAAACACGAAAGUGGACGUAUACGGUGUGACGCCUGCCCGGUGCCGGAAGGUUAAUUGAUGGGGUCAGCGCAAGCGAAGCUCCUGAUCGAAGCCCCGGUAAACGGCGGCCGUAACUAUAACGGUCCUAAGGUAGCGAAAUUCCUUGUCGGGUAAGUUCCGACCUGCACGAAUGGCGUAAUGAUGGCCAGGCUGUCUCCACCCGAGACUCAGUGAAAUUGAACUCGCUGUGAAGAUGCAGUGUACCCGCGGCAAGACGGAAAGACCCCGUGAACCUUUACUAUAGCUUGACACUGAACAUUGAGCCUUGAUGUGUAG
rnacentral:rRNA from 1 species